rnacentral:misc_RNA from 1 species
AGGAGCUCGGAUAGGAAGAGAACCCGUAGGCGAUGAUAACAAUGAGGUGGAAAAAGAAGGGGACCCUUGUGCCUUGCAAAGAGAAACACGACGCAUUGAGGCCAUGGCCUGAAGCUCUUGUUUUUCUCAGAAACCGAGAAAAGAAAAGGGAGUAGCUUUUUGUUGGGUUGUAAUGAUUCUUGAAUCUUGGGUUUAUGGUUG